rnacentral:rRNA from 1 species
GACGAACGCUGGCGGCGUGCUUAACACAUGCAAGUCGAACGGAAAGGCCCUGCUUUUGUGGGGUGCUCGAGUGGCGAACGGGUGAGUAACACGUGAGUAACCUGCCCUUGACUUUGGGAUAACUUCAGGAAACUGGGGCUAAUACCGGAUAGGAGCUCCUGCUGCAUGGUGGGGGUUGGAAAGUUUCGGCGGUUGGGGAUGGACUCGCGGCUUAUCAGCUUGUUGGUGGGGUAGUGGCUUACCAAGGCUUUGACGGGUAGCCGGCCUGAGAGGGUGACCGGCCACAUUGGGACUGAGAUACGGCCCAGACUCCUACGGGAGGCAGCAGUGGGGAAUAUUGCACAAUGGGCGGAAGCCUGAUGCAGCAACGCCGCGUGCGGGAUGACGGCCUUCAGGUUGUAAACCGCUUUCGCCUGUGACGAAGCGUGAGUGACGGUAAUGGGUAAAGAAGCACCGGCUAACUGCGUG